rnacentral:rRNA from 1 species
UGGGAAUAUUGGACAAUGGGCGAAAGCCUGAUCCAGCCAUGCCGCGUGAGUGAUGAAGGCCUUAGGGUUGUAAAGCUCUUUUAGCAGGGAAGAUAAUGACGGUACCUGCAGAAAAAGCCCCGGCUAACUUCGUGCCAGCAGCCGCGGUAAUACGAAGGGGGCUAGCGUUGCUCGGAAUUACUGGGCGUAAAGCGCACGUGGGCGGACUUUCAAGUCAGGGGUGAAAUCCCGGGGCUCAACCUCGGAACUGCCUUUGAUACUGUUGGUCUCGAGUCCGGAAGAGGUGAGUGGAAUUCCGAGUGUAGAGGUGAAAUUCGUAGAUAUUAGGAAGAACACCGGUGGCGAAGGCGGCUCACUGGUCCGGUACUGACGCUGAGGUGCGAAAGCGUGGGGAGCAAACA